rnacentral:rRNA from 1 species
GAUGAACGCUGGCGGCGUGCUUAACACAUGCAAGUCGAACGAGCUUUAUUACUACGAUCCCUUCGGGGUGACGGUUUUAAAGCGAGUGGCGGACGGGUGAGUAACGCGUGGAUAACCUGCCAUACACUGGGGGAUAACAGCUGGAAACAGCUGCUAAUACCGCAUAAAACUGUAGAGUCGCAUGACUUUAUAGCCAAAGCUCCGGCGGUGUAUGAUGGAUCCGCGUCUGAUUAGGCAGUUGGCGGGGUAACGGCCCACCAAACCGACGAUCAGUAGCCGACCUGAGAGGGUGACCGGCCACAUUGGGACUGAGACACGGCCCAAACUCCUACGGGAGGCAGCAGUGGGGAAUAUUGCACAAUGGGGGAAACCCUGAUGCAGCGACGCCGCGUGAACGAAGAAGUAUUUCGGUAUGUAAAGUUCUAUCAGCAGGGAAGAUAAUGACGGUACCUGACUAAGAAGCACCGGCUAAAUACGUG